AACGAACGCUGGCGGCAUGCCUAACACAUGCAAGUCGAACGAUACCUUCGGGUCUAGUGGCGCACGGGUGCGUAACGCGUGGGAACCUGCCCUUAGGUUCGGAAUAACUCCCCGAAAGGGGUGCUAAUACCGGAUAAUGUCUUCGAACCAAAGAUUUAUCGCCUUUGGAUGGGCCCGCGUUGGAUUAGCUAGUUGGUAGGGUAAAAGCCUACCAAGGCGACGAUCCAUAGCUGGUCUGAGAGGAUGAUCAGCCACACUGGGACUGAGACACGGCCCAGACUCCUACGGGAGGCAGCAGUGGGGAAUAUUGGACAAUGGGCGAAAGCCUGAUCCAGCAAUGCCGCGUGAGUGAUGAAGGCCUUAGGGUUGUAAAGCUCUUUUACACGGGAUGAUAAUGACAGUACCGGGAGAAUAAGCUCCGGCUAACUCCGUG
rnacentral:rRNA from 1 species